AACAUUGCCUUUUGAUCCCCCUAUAAAAGGUUCAUCCUGCCCUGUGACUCGCGUUUAACGGCCGCGGUAUCCUGACCGUGUUAAGGUAGCAUAAUCAUUUGCCUUUUAAUUGGUGGCUAGAAUGAAUGGACACACGAAACUCUACCUGUCUCUAAAUUUCCUAUAAAAAUUAGCCCCCAAGUGAAGAGACUUGGAUAGUAUUAAAAGACAAGAAGACCCUGAAGAGCCUUAUCACCACUUAGUCCCAUCAGCAAUAUUCAUAAACCUACGCUACUAAACCGUGAUUUAGUUGGGAGAACUAAGGACCAUCUAAAGAUUCCUCAACCAACCCAGACCCACAAGACAUACCCCUGACCCAUAUUUUGAUCAUUGAACCUGGCUACCUCAGGGAUAACAGACUAAUUUCCUUCGAGAGCUCGAAUUGACAAGGAAGUUUAGCACCUCGAUGUUGGCUUAGGGUACCCCAAAGGUGCAGCAGCCUUUAACGGUAGGUUUGUUCAACCU
rnacentral:rRNA from 1 species